rnacentral:rRNA from 1 species
UUUUUCCUACGGGACGCAGCAGUGGGGGAUAUUGCACAAUGGGGGAAACCCUGAUGCAGCGACGCCGCGUGUGGGAAGACGGUCCUCUGGAUUGUAAACCACUGUCCCCCGGGACGAAGAUGACGGUACCUGGGGAGGAAGCUCCGGCUAACUACGUGCCAGCAGCCGCGGUAAUACGUAGGGAGCAAGCGUUGUCCGGAAUUACUGGGUGUAAAGGGAGCGUAGGCGGGAUGGCAAGUUGGGUGUUAAAUCUACCGGCUCAACU